CUAGAUCUCACUGCAACUUUCAGACACACACAGUUAAUGAAGUUCAAGAAGAAGAAGAAGAUCUAAUCAAUUAAUCAAUCAACAACACUCACUACUUUCACUUCAUCAAUUUCACAGAAAUGAAGAGAGGGGGAGAAAAAAGCAGCAAUUUUGGGCUAAAAAAUCCACCCAUGAAGAUCGAUUUUUCAUCUUCAUCAAAGAAGCAUAAGAAACCCAAUCUCAGAAACCCAUUAACAGACAUUAAUUCCUCAUCUUCUUCAUCUUCUACUUCUGCUAGUACUGUUUCAAUUGAAGCUUCGUCUAGGGGUUGUUUAGGUUUUUUCUUAUCAAAUCCUUCAAAACCCCAACUUAAAAACCCUAAAUCAGUACCAAUUUCAAAUCCCAGAUUAAAGAACCCCCCUCAAAAUCAAGAGAAAUCGGUGUCUAAUAAAGGGGUCAGGGGGAAUUUGAAUCAGAAAUUGGGUUGCACAAAUGUGAAAAGUUCGAGCUUGAAAUCACAAUCGGGUUUGAAAAAGAAGAAGAAAUUGGAGUCUGAGGCAAUGGGGGUUGAUAAAGGUGAGAUUUUUGAAAAAAAAUUAUUUAAUUUCAGUAAAUUAGGGUUAGAUGAAACCAUAAAUGUAACUCCUUUGAAUAAAUUUCAGUCCGGGUCUGUUUUAGAUAUGGAAAUUGAAGAGAAUUCAGUAUGUAAAACAUUAGAAAAAACUCCAGAAACUAUAACACCACCAAUUCAAGCUUCGGUGUCGCCGGAGCUUCAGUAUGGAGCUUCUUCCAUGGUUGGUGGUUCCACUACAGGGUCUUGUUAUGCUGCUGGUCAUGUUUUAUCUGGUGUACCUGAUAAGAGGAAAUGUAGACCUAGAGGUAUACUUACAGUAGGUGAAGAAUUGGGGUUUGAGAGUUUUCAGUUGUCUAGUGAUGAGAAUGUGUCAAAUUCGGGUAAGGGUCGUAGAGUGUCUUUGGUUCCGACGCCUAGUGGAGCGUCAAUGAGGUGGUUGUUGUCGCCUUGCAAAGAGGAAGAAGAUAAAAUGGACAAUUGUUCCCCGAAUGCCUCAGCUGAAUUUAGGAGGAGAAUGGGUCCAACACCAUUUCAAUCACUUUCUUCGCCGUCUUCAGAUGUUUGUUUGAAAAGUAAUGGUAGUAGUAAAACUAGUUCCGUUGUUAAGAUGGAUUUGUCGAUUUCACCAAUUGAAUUGUCUAAGUUUGAAGGAUUUAGUGAUGUUUCUCCAUCGAUUUUUCAAGUUAGACCUGAUGUUGAGCAUCAUUUGGUUUCUUGUUUCUCACCGUCUUCGUUUGCUGAUACUACUACUAUUACACCUAGUAAAAGAGUAGAAGAGAGUUCUCCAUUAUCUGUAGACUCUUUGGAUAGUCACAAUGCAAUUUGUACUCCGGAAUCUGAUUCAAGUUCGGAGAGACAGAGGUUUUCCUGGAUGCAGAAUGUUGUGGAUCACCGUGAGUCUCGGUUUGAAUUUGAUCCAUUGGCAGAUGUUUUCCGAACGAAAAGUUUGUCUCCUAGGGGUAGGAGAACGAGUUGGGAUCCAGCUGAUGUUUUGCCACUCCCUGGGUUGAAUUUUAAGCUUCAUGAUACUAUGAUGGAUCCAUUGUUAGGUGUCUCAAGUUCUAGUUUCAUAGAUUCAGUUGAUUCCCAAAUGAGAGUAUCUUGGAGAGAAGGACUAGUUAGUCGGAUAUUCGAUAUGGAUGAGUUGGAUUCUUGUAGAUGGUUAUCAGAUGAGGAGGUGGAAGUUGGUCUUUGUGGGAAUAAACAGUUAAGUUCUGCAGAUUUCGAUUGUGAAGUUGAUAUGAGUCUUGAAUCUCUUGAUGGCGAGUUAGUUAACAUUACUAAAUCACCUGAAUUUGUCUCUGAAGAACCUGAAAUUAUUGGAAAAAGCAAGCUAAAGUCUCCUCAGAAACUCAGAUCUUGCGCAGAAUCAAUGAGCACAGACGGAGGAGGAUUAAUCGCUUCGGGGGAUUCAGAUUGGACUCAAUGUUACAAAAACCGUCUGUUUCAAGGAUAGGUUCAUUUCUUCUUUUUCUUUUUAUUUUCUGUUUAUUUCUGUAACAUUAGUUUAAAUUACAUCAUUUUCAAACACUGAGGUCUAGACUAGACAAUUGUGAAUUAUGUUUGUUAAAGUAUCAUCUAUUCGUGCAUGUUGUAAUAUUCAAUUAGUCUAGUUUGAUGUUCAAACUAGUACUGAUAAAAUUUAUAUGUAAUUCACAUGGGUUCAAUUACUCUUACAGUUUACUCUGUUCGUUGUGUUUCCUAUGAUCAUGUGAAUUGUGAACUUUUUUGUAGUUUGAGUUGAAACUUAGACAGAACGAGAUCCUGUAUGGCUGUUUUUGGGUACAAUUGCAGAGUUCAGAAUUGCAGCGCUUCAUACAGGUUUGUGUUGCUCAGGGCGAUAAGAAGCUGAGAAGUGAAAAACUGUGUAGUCAGUGUUCUAAAUGUGAAGCAAAUCAAUGCCCACCUAGUGAAUCUUACCCACAUAUGACAACCUUUGAUAAUAGACUGAUUGCUAGUGCUUUACAAUCUGACCAUGUUAGUAUUGGAGAUAGAGGUGUCUAUUCAGUUCCAAAUGUCAUUGGUGGUGUUUCUAAGACUUCCAAUUCCUAUUAUGGAUGGAAAUCAACUUCCGGUUCAGAAUCCGGAUACCACAGGUUUAGCAACUACAUGGAUAAAUGUUCAGAAGGUCGGACCUAUCUGAGUGUAGACAAGAAGGGAAACGUAGCAAUUCGCUCGUUGCAGUCCCUCGCAUGCCUAGCCCAAGCUGAUUGGAAAUCUGUUAAUCCACCAUCACAUCUAAACCACCGUGAAGUUCGAUUCUGGGUCUCUCUUAGUACUGGGAAAUGCUUAACAGUAUUGCGGGGCAAGAACAAACUUAAACGAGUUUUAGGCGUAGCUGAAUGCAGAUUUGAUGGUUCCAACCUUAAUCAACUGUUUGCAUUUCGGUUUCACUAUCACAAAGCUUUUUGCUGUUGUGGUGUCUUCAACAAAUAAACAUAUUUAACUAAUCAAAACCUUCAAAAUCUUGAUUUAUAUAUGCAAUCACAACAUUGUUGGCAGCAA